UACGUAGGGGGCAAGCGUUGUCCGGAUUUAUUGGGCGUAAAGAGCGUGUAGGCGGCCAGGUAGGUCAGCUGUGAAAACUCGAGGCUCAACCUCGAGACGUCGGUUGAAACCAUCUGGCUAGAGUCCGGAAGAGGAGAGUGGAAUUCCCGGUGUAGCGGUGAAAUGCGCAGAUAUCGGGAAGAACACCCGUGGCGAAGGCGGGUCUCUGGGCCGAUAUUGACGCUGAGGAGCGAAAGCGUGGGGAGCGAACAGG
rnacentral:rRNA from 1 species